rnacentral:tRNA from 1 species
CAAAUUAGAGCUUGAUAAAGUAUUUCAUUUACAUUGAAAAGAUAUUAUUUUUUAAUUAAUUUGA